rnacentral:lncRNA from 1 species
AACUCAUUACAAGCCGAGAAGUGAAAAACAAUGUUAUCACCCUAUUCAAAGGGUUGAAAGAGUCUUGUUUGGAGUGUGUGAGGUUGAUUAAUUAUGUUUGUAAUAUUUCAGAAGUUGACCGAAAAAGAAAAAAAAUAGAAAAGAAAAAAAAGGAAUGAAAAAAUAGAAGGAUAAGAGGAAGAAAAAAUAGAAGGAUAAGAGGAAGGAAAAAAAGGCAUUAUGUUUGUAAUAUUUCAAUACAUGUCAAUACAUACUCCUUCAAAAAAAAGAAUAAAAAGAGGAAAGAGAAGAGAAAAUAAUUGCUAUAGAGUUGUUCAAGUGAAUGAAAUAUUUUGUAAAUUCAACUCCCGCAGUUUCUUUCCAGUCUCUUUUAUCUCUUUGAAUUUUAGCCUAAUACCCCUUAGGAUUUAUCCCACCCUUACCUUGGCCACCUUACAACCAAAUAAAGGUUCUUUUGAUCUUUGUGUACAUGUAUUUUAAUUAUGGAUGUUAGAGUCCUUUCA